rnacentral:rRNA from 1 species
ACUCCUACGGGAGGCAGCAGUAGGGAAUCUUCCGCAAUGGGCGAAAGCCUGACGGAGCAACGCCGCGUGAGUGAUGAAGGUCUUCGGAUCGUAAAACUCUGUUAUUAGGGAAGAACAAAUGUGUAAGUUAAACUAUGGCCACGUUCUGACGGUACCUAAUCAGAAAGCCACGGCUAACUACGUGCCAGCAGCCGCGGUAAUACGUAGGUGGCAAGCGUUAUCCGGAAUUAUUGGGCGUAAAGCGCGCGUAGGCGGUUUUUAAGUCUGAUGUGAAAGCCACGGCUCAACCGNGGGGGUCAUUGGAAAACUGGAAAACUUGAGUGCAGAAAGGAAAGGUGGAAUUCCA